GUAAGCCCAGUGCAAUCAAUGCUGACAAUGAAUAUCAAGCAGGUCUCUCGAAACAGACUGUGCAGCCUUCUGGAAUACUUGUAAUGGAUUUUGAAACCUUCCAUGCAAAGGAGCUGUUUAUGCAACCCCAUGGAGCUACACUAUCAUGAUAAAUGCCUGAUCUUUGUGGAGGAAAGAAUUUAGUUCUCAAUAAGGUGAUGAGAAUGAAUUUUCAGCUCAACUAUCUCAGCAGUCAGU